UACGAAGGGGGCUAGCGUUGCUCGGAAUUACUGGGCGUAAAGCGCGUGUAGGCGGUCCGGUAAGUCCGCUGUGAAAGUCGGGGGCUCAACCCUCGGAUGCCGGUGGAUCCUGUCGGGCUUGAGUACGGAAGAGGCGAGUGGAAUUCCUGGUGUAGCGGUGAAAUGCGCAGAUAUCAGGAGGAACACCAAUUGCGAAGGCAGCUCGCUGGGACGUUACUGACGCUGAGACGCGAAAGCGUGGGGAGCAAACAGG
rnacentral:rRNA from 1 species